rnacentral:tmRNA from 1 species
GGGGGCGACUUGGCUUCGACGGGGGAAACGGUGGCAAGAGGAGCGAGCCGGGAUCCCACUUAUCCCGUUAAACAGUGGACCUUAAAUUAAUUGGCGAAGAAAAUUACGCUUUAGCAGCUUAAUUGCUGUCUAACCUCCUAACUUGAGCUGGGCCCGUGGCUUGGGUCUGGAGGUCAUAAUAACGGGCUGGCUUAAUCCCAAUUCUCGGAGGGGUUAAGUAAGACUCAUCGAGAUAGCCGUUUCGUAGGCUGUUUGUGGCCGACGUUUACGGCGAAAUUAAAACACACUCUACGCUCGUAGAGCCUGUUGUAGUCGUUCUUCCGGACGGUGGGUUCGAAUCCCCCCGCCUCCACCA